UGAAGUUUGGAUAGGCAUUUUUUCAUCCAAAUUCUCUGCAAACCAAUCGUUUGGCAGAAAAUGCAAUUUCAGAUGGAAUGCUACAGACUCUGACUCUGGUAUAGCCGAAUUAUUUUGCUAUUCUUUAAGGACUAACAAAUGUGAGAACUUUUCAUUGACAACAAUCAAGACAGAAGAUGAGUGUGGACGUAUACAAGAAAACGACGUUAAUUCCGCAGCUGUUGCUAAGUUAUAUAGUCAGGAUCCAGACCAGUAUCUAUGGCAUGACGUCUGUUAUAGAUUCAACAUUGAUGGCGAAUG
rnacentral:lncRNA from 1 species